rnacentral:lncRNA from 1 species
CUGGGGACCACAGCGGGUCACCGACCGAGGGCAGGGUGGGCGGAGAGGGGCGGCUGACACCCAGGAGGCGGAGUUGGGGUGCGGGACCGCAGAGGUGCUGGAUCGAGCUUGGAUGGAGUCUCGCUCUGUUGCCCAGGCUGGAGCACAGUGGCACGAUCUUGGAUCACUGCAAGCUCCACCUCCCGGGUCUCACUCUGUCACCCAGGCUGGAGUGCAGUGAUACGAUCAUGGCGCACUGCAGCCUCGACCUCCCAGGUUCAAACGAUCCCUCCCACCUCAGCCUCUCAGGGCCUCAGUCUGCAGAGACACAGAAGCAAAUGAUUGUAUGAAGCUCCUGACUGUAUGAAGUUCUCAGUCAAACAAAAUAGUACCUCUUCUGCCCAUCUCAGAGGUGGAUAAGGAUAAAGUGAAAUAAUGGAAAGCACAAGGAACAGUAAAAGGCAAAUGUCAAGAAGCUGUUUGCAAAGUUACCAAGAUGUAAAAUUAGAUUUUACUUAUUAAUAAUCAUGUCACUUGUCAUUCUGUUUAUAAUGGUCAAUUCACUGCUGAUAUUCAAGUGGACCGUUUAAACUGUAUUUUUGCUCAGCUAUCCCUCCAAAUAAAUAUCUCAAAAUCUUGACUGUUUAUUUUCUUAGCCCAUCUUAUUUUCCCAGGCCUCAAAGCGUGGCUUCUCAAAUCCCUGGCUUGUCUUCUGAUUCUGGCCAGUCUAGGUGGGGUCUGGCUUCAGUUUGUACAGAUUCUCACUCCCAAUCUCAUAUUGGUCAAACAAACCCAGAAGUAAGAUCUACACGUAUUAAUCAACCAUUCUCAGACCAGGAUUGGAAUAAUUUGAAAAAGUGAACUCUGGCUGGGUGCCGUGUUCACACCUGUAAUCCCAGCACUUUGGGAGGCUGAGGCGGGUGAAUCACGAGGUCAGGAGAUUGAGACCAUCCUGGCCAU